CUGGUGAGGACACUGCUGUCCGGUUUUGAACACUACAGGAAGAGUUGUGCUUGCUGUUUAACAAGUCUGGGUUCCUCCUUCCUCCUUCAUGAAAUGGGAUUUUCUCCUCUCCACCUCCCUCCCUCCCUCCCUCCCUCCCUCCUUUCCUCCCUCCAGCCUUCCCUUCUCUUCUUUCUCUCUCUUUCUUUCUUUCUUUCUUUCUUUCUUUCUUUCUUUCUUUCUUUCUUUCUUUCUUCCUCCCUCCCUCCCUCCCUCUCUCUCUCUCUCUCUCUCUCUCUCUCUCUCUCUCUCUCUCUCUCUCUCUCUCUCUCUCUCGAAUGGAAUUUAAGCUCAAAUGACUGUCUCAGCCAUGCCAAGUCAGUGGCUCUCAUCCCGGCGAGGAGAGAGACAGAGACAGCUUCUCUGAAGAGCUAUUGCAAAAUGCUUCAGCCCAGCCAGUCCCUUCAGCCCCACAUUCUGGCACACCUGUGCUGGGUGCACACCCCUGUGGGAGCCCACACCUGCUGUGGGCUGGGAAGAAUCAGGAAGAGACAAAGACAUUACCUGGCUUCAAUCAAGGCAUUUCCUACAGCACCCAGCCAACAGCAGGAAAUGUUCUCGCUCGGGUUAUAUCUAGUUUUUCUCUGCAACAGGGACCCAAGACCAAAACAUUUUAACAUGAAUACGCAUUGGAACUGAAAUUCUUGGGUCUUGCAAGAAGAAGUCUUUGUCCCACAACCUACCCCAUGCUGGACUUGAACCUGUGCACUGCCACAUACUGUUCAUUCAGUGCCGAAGAUCAAAGCCGGAGUUCUAUGCUCUCUAGCUAAACACUCUACCAUUUAUCAUGUCAUGUGUGUUAGGUAGGAGAAAACCUUUUCCCUUCUCAGCUUCAGGGAUUAGCAUUUACACAUUAAAUGGUUGGAAGACAGCUGAA